GAGAGUGGGUAGUCCGUACGAGCGCACCUUGUCCUUAUUUGCCAUCAUUUAGUUGGGUACUCUAGGGAGACUGCCGGUGACAAACCGGAGGAAGGUGGGGACGACGUCAAGUCAUCAUGGCCCUUACGACCAGGGCUACACACGUGCUACAAUGGGGCGUACAAAGGGUUGCAACCCCGCGAGGGUGAGCUAAUCCCAUAAAACGUUUCGUAGUCCGGAUCGCAGUCUGCAACUCGACUGCGUGAAGUCGGAAUCGCUAGUAAUCGUGAAUCAGAAUGUCACGGUGAAUACGUUCCCGGGCCUUGUACACACCGCCCGUCACACCAUGGGAGUGGGUUGCAAAAGAAGUGGGUAGCAUAACCUUUUGGAGUGCGCUCACCACUUUGUGAUUCAUGACUGGGGUGAAGUCGUAACAAGGUAGCCGUAGGGGAACCUGCGGCUGGAUCACCUCCUU
rnacentral:rRNA from 1 species